AAACGCUGAGGCUAGAGACACGAGGGGAGGAAAAAAAUAGCAACGCGACGAAAGAGUUAGUUGUGUUAAGUUACAGAUGUUGUGGAAACUUAAAUCCGGAGCUUAGCCCCUGCUAGCUGGAAGGAAAAGGAGCGUGUGUGGGAGAAUAUUAUGCGCCGAGUUUUCUGAUGUGCCUCAAGCCUACAUGCCGCCCGCCUGCCUGCCGCCACGCAUGCUGCUGCUGUAGAGGGUGUCGCUAGGGGAACCUGCUGAUGCACGGACCAGUUUCUUCAUCUCACAUCACGUUUCCUCAUUGAACAGAAGGUUUGAUGACAAUUGACUAGUUGUGUUUCUGAACCUUCAAGGAUCAGUGAGUACUGAGGAACACGUUUUCACGAGGAUUCAAAUGAGCUCCAACAUGCGCGCCAACACAUGGUACCAUAACUGAGUUUACAAAACCCCGGGUAUUAUUAUUUUAAUUUUAUUUGACUUAAAGGGUGAUUGCGUUUUUGUUAAUAAACACCCAUGUUGUUGCACAGU